CAGGUGGUUUUUGAAAAUUGUGGCCACUGAUUGGUAAAGCUACUUCGGAUUAUUCCACGAUAAUCACCUAAUGCGCAAUGGCCGCCCGGUUUGUCAGUGUGAAAGACGAAGAAAUAACAAAGUGCACAAAAGAUGCAACAAAAUUUGGUGUAAAACUAUUUCAAGGUAGUAUCUCCGUUGUAGAAUUGAAGUGAACUUUGCUUUGUCUGAAAAUACUAUUUUAACAGUGUGAAAAAUGCAAAAUAGUACUAUUUCUUUAAUAUUCACCGACCCUGAGGCGACUAAUUGUUAAAUAUAUAUCGCUUGCAGUAUUUCAAUGAGUAUUGUCCAGUUCUGAAUGGUGCAGUGAAACUAACAUCCAACAACAUAUUAUAAAUACAAUUCUUGUGGUUUUCUCUGACGACAAAGUACUAAGCCUUCUUCCUUUAUUUUGGGAUUUUUCACAAGGACUAAGCGCAAAAUCCCAGUUAUGCUACUGCGAAG